rnacentral:rRNA from 1 species
GGGUUGUGAGGUUAAGCGACUAAGCGUACACGGUGGAUGCCCUGGCAGUCAGAGGCGAUGAAGGACGUGCUAAUCUGCGAUAAGCGUCGGUAAGGUGAUAUGAACCGUUAUAACCGGCGAUUUCCGAAUGGGGAAACCCAGUGUGUUUCGACACACUAUCAUUAACUGAAUCCAUAGGUUAAUGAGGCGAACCGGGGGAACUGAAACAUCUAAGUACCCCGAGGAAAAGAAAUCAACCGAGAUUCCCCCAGUAGCGGCGAGCGAACGGGGAGCAGCCCAGAGCCUGAAUCAGUGUGUGUGUUAGUGGAAGCGUCUGGAAAGGCGCGCGAUACAGGGUGACAGCCCCGUACACAAAAAUGCACAUGCUGUGAGCUCGAUGAGUAGGGCGGGACACGUGGUAUCCUGUCUGAAUAUGGGGGGACCAUCCUCCAAGGCUAAAUACUCCUGACUGACCGAUAGUGAACCAGUACCGUGAGGGAAAGGCGAAAAGAACCCCGGCGAGGGGAGUGAAAAAGAACCUGAAACCGUGUACGUACAAGCAGUGGGAGCACGCUUAGGCGUGUGACUGCGUACCUUUUGUAUAAUGGGUCAGCGACUUAUAUUCUGUAGCAAGGUUAACCGAAUAGGGGAGCCGAAGGGAAACCGAGUCUUAACUGGGCGUUAAGUUGCAGGGUAUAGACCCGAAACCCGGUGAUCUAGCCAUGGGCAGGUUGAAGGUUGGGUAACACUAACUGGAGGACCGAACCGACUAAUGUUGAAAAAUUAGCGGAUGACUUGUGGCUGGGGGUGAAAGGCCAAUCAAACCGGGAGAUAGCUGGUUCUCCCCGAAAGCUAUUUAGGUAGCGCCUCGUGAAUUCAUCUCCGGGGGUAGAGCACUGUUUCGGCAAGGGGGUCAUCCCGACUUACCAACCCGAUGCAAACUGCGAAUACCGGAGAAUGUUAUCACGGGAGACACACGGCGGGUGCUAACGUCCGUCGUGAAGAGGGAAACAACCCAGACCGCCAGCUAAGGUCCCAAAGUCAUGGUUAAGUGGGAAACGAUGUGGGAAGGCCCAGACAGCCAGGAUGUUGGCUUAGAAGCAGCCAUCAUUUAAAGAAAGCGUAAUAGCUCACUGGUCGAGUCGGCCUGCGCGGAAGAUGUAACGGGGCUAAACCAUGCACCGAAGCUGCGGCAGCGACGCUUAUGCGUUGUUGGGUAGGGGAGCGUUCUGUAAGCCUGUGAAGGUGUGCUGUGAGGCAUGCUGGAGGUAUCAGAAGUGCGAAUGCUGACAUAAGUAACGAUAAAGCGGGUGAAAAGCCCGCUCGCCGGAAGACCAAGGGUUCCUGUCCAACGUUAAUCGGGGCAGGGUGAGUCGACCCCUAAGGCGAGGCCGAAAGGCGUAGUCGAUGGGAAACAGGUUAAUAUUCCUGUACUUGGUGUUACUGCGAAGGGGGGACGGAGAAGGCUAUGUUGGCCGGGCGACGGUUGUCCCGGUUUAAGCGUGUAGGCUGGUUUUCCAGGCAAAUCCGGAAAAUCAAGGCUGAGGCGUGAUGACGAGGCACUACGGUGCUGAAGCAACAAAUGCCCUGCUUCCAGGAAAAGCCUCUAAGCAUCAGGUAACAUCAAAUCGUACCCCAAACCGACACAGGUGGUCAGGUAGAGAAUACCAAGGCGCUUGAGAGAACUCGGGUGAAGGAACUAGGCAAAAUGGUGCCGUAACUUCGGGAGAAGGCACGCUGAUAUGUAGGUGAAGUCCCUCGCGGAUGGAGCUGAAAUCAGUCGAAGAUACCAGCUGGCUGCAACUGUUUAUUAAAAACACAGCACUGUGCAAACACGAAAGUGGACGUAUACGGUGUGACGCCUGCCCGGUGCCGGAAGGUUAAUUGAUGGGGUUAGCGCAAGCGAAGCUCUUGAUCGAAGCCCCGGUAAACGGCGGCCGUAACUAUAACGGUCCUAAGGUAGCGAAAUUCCUUGUCGGGUAAGUUCCGACCUGCACGAAUGGCGUAAUGAUGGCCAGGCUGUCUCCACCCGAGACUCAGUGAAAUUGAACUCGCUGUGAAGAUGCAGUGUACCCGCGGCAAGACGGAAAGACCCCGUGAACCUUUACUAUAGCUUGACACUGAACAUUGAGCCUUGAUGUGUAGGAUAGGUGGGAGGCUUUGAAGUGUGGACGCCAGUCUGCAUGGAGCCGACCUUGAAAUACCACCCUUUAAUGUUUGAUGUUCUAACGUUGACCCGUAAUCCGGGUUGCGGACAGUGUCUGGUGGGUAGUUUGACUGGGGCGGUCUCCUCCUAAAGAGUAACGGAGGAGCACGAAGGUUGGCUAAUCCUGGUCGGACAUCAGGAGGUUAGUGCAAUGGCAUAAGCCAGCUUGACUGCGAGCGUGACGGCGCGAGCAGGUGCGAAAGCAGGUCAUAGUGAUCCGGUGGUUCUGAAUGGAAGGGCCAUCGCUCAACGGAUAAAAGGUACUCCGGGGAUAACAGGCUGAUACCGCCCAAGAGUUCAUAUCGACGGCGGUGUUUGGCACCUCGAUGUCGGCUCAUCACAUCCUGGGGCUGAAGUAGGUCCCAAGGGUAUGGCUGUUCGCCAUUUAAAGUGGUACGCGAGCUGGGUUUAGAACGUCGUGAGACAGUUCGGUCCCUAUCUGCCGUGGGCGCUGGAGAACUGAGGGGGGCUGCUCCUAGUACGAGAGGACCGGAGUGGACGCAUCACUGGUGUUCGGGUUGUCAUGCCAAUGGCACUGCCCGGUAGCUAAAUGCGGAAGAGAUAAGUGCUGAAAGCAUCUAAGCACGAAACUUGCCCCGAGAUGAGUUCUCCCUGACCCUUUAAGGGUCCUGAAGGAACGUUGAAGACGACGACGUUGAUAGGCCGGGUGUGUAAGCGCAGCGAUGCGUUGAGCUAACCGGUACUAAUGAACCGUGAGGCUUAACCUUACAACGCCGAAGCUGUU